rnacentral:rRNA from 1 species
CAAUAGCGUAUAUUAAAGUUGUUGCGGUUAAAAAGCUCGUAGUUGGAUUUCUGCCGAGGACGACCGGUCCGCCCUCCGGGUGAGUAUCUGGUUUGGCCUGGGCAUCUUCUUGGAGAACGUAGCUGCACUUGACUGUGUGGUGCGGUGUCCAGGACUUUUACUUUGAGGAAAUUAGAGUGUUUCAAGCAGGCACACGCCUUGAAUACAUUAGCAUGGAAUAAUAAGAUAGGACCUCGGUUCUAUUUUGUUGGUUUCUAGAGCUGAGGUAAUGAUUAAUAGGGAUAGUUGGGGGCAUUCGUAUUCCGUUGUCAGAGGUGAAAUUCUUGGAUUUACGGAAGACGAACUACUGCGAAAGCAUUUACCAAGGAUGUUUUCAUUAA